CCUACGGGAGGCAGCAGUGGGGAAUAUUGCACAAUGGGCGAAACCCUGAUGCAGCGACGCCGCGUGAGCGAUGAAGUCCUUCGGUUCGUAAAGCUCUUUCAUCAGGGAAGAUAAUGACGGUACUUGAGGAGGAAGCCCCGGCUAACUACGUGCCAGCAGCCGCGGUAAUACGUAGGGGGCUAGCGUUAUCCGGAUUUACUGGGCGUAAAGGGUGCGUAGGUGGGUUUGUAAGUCUGGAGGGAAAGCCCACGGGUCAAACAUGAGAAAGCUUUGGAAACUGGAAAAUUUGAGUGCAGGAGAGGAGAGUGGAAUUCCUAGUGUAGCGGUGAAAUGCGUAGAUAUUAGGAGGAACACCAGUGGCGAAGGCGGCUCGCUGGACUGUAACUGACACUGAGGCACGAAAGCGUGGGGAGCAAACAGGAUUAGAUACCCGAGUAGUC
rnacentral:rRNA from 1 species